rnacentral:rRNA from 1 species
ACGCUUGAAGUCAGUCGCGUCUAUUGGAAAUCAACUUUGCAUUUUUUUUGCUUAGUGUAUUUUCUGAUAAACGGGUCAACAUCAAUUUUGACCAGUGGAAAAAGGUUGGGGGAAUGUGGCAUCUUCGGAUGUGUUAUAGACUCUAGCUGUAUACAUUGGUUUGGGAUUGAGGAACUCAGCACGCCGCAAGGCCGGGUCUUUUGACCACGUUCGUGCUUAGGAUGUUGGCAUAAUGGCUUUAAUCGACCCGUCUUGAAACACGGACCAAGGAGUC